rnacentral:rRNA from 1 species
GACGAACGCUGGCGGCGUGCUUAACACAUGCAAGUCGAACGGAAAGGCCCUGCUUUUGUGGGGUGCUCGAGUGGCGAACGGGUGAGUAACACGUGAGAAACCUGCUCUUGACUUUGGGAUAACUUCAGGAAACUGGGGCUAAUUCCGGACAGGAGCUCCUGCUGUAUGGUGGGGGUUGGAAAGUUUCGGCGGUUGGGGAUGGACUCGCGGCUUAUCAGCUUGUUGGUGGGGUAGUGGCUUACCAAGGCUUUGACGGGUGGCCGGCCUGAGAGGGUGACCGGCCACAUUGGGACUGAGAUACGGCCCAGACUCCUACGGGAGGCAGCAGUGGGGAAUAUUGCACAAUGGGCGGAAGCCUGAUGCAGCAACGCCGCGUGCGGGAUGACGGCCUUCGGGUUGUAAACCGCUUUGGCCUGUGACGAAGCGAAAGUGACGGUAAUGGGUAAAGAAGCACCGGCUAACUACGUG